AAAAGCUCGUAGUUGAAUUUCUGAGCUCGCCGAGCGGCGGUCUUUGGCCGACCACUCCGCAAGUUCAUCCUCGCCCCUCGGGGCGUCAUUUACUGUGAAAAAAUUAGAGUGUUUAAAGCAGGCUUUAGGCUUGAAUACAUUAGCAUGGAAUAAUGAGAUAGGACCAAGUCGUAUUUUGUUGGUUGCGCGAUUCGGUAAUGAUUAAUAGGGACAGUUGGGGGUAUUCAUAUUUAAUUGUCAGAGGUGAAAUUCUUAGAUUUAUUAAAGAUGAACUACUGCGAAAGCAUUUACCAAGGAUGUUUCCAUUAAUCAAGAACGAAAGUCAGGGGAUCGGAGAGGAUUAGAUACCCUCGUAGUCUUGACCAUAAACUAUGCCGACUCAGGAUUGGCACCCUUUUUUAACAGGGUGUCAGCACUGUAUGAAAAAUCAAAGUCUUUGGGUUCCGGGGGGAGUAUGGUCGCAAGGCUGAAACUUAGAGGAAUUGACGGAAGGGCACCACCAGGAGUGGAGCCUGCGGCUUAAUUUGACUCAACACGGGGAAACUUACCAGGUCCAGACAUGGUGAGGAUUGACAGAU
rnacentral:rRNA from 1 species